rnacentral:rRNA from 1 species
AAAUUGAAGAGUUUGAUCAUGGCUCAGAUUGAACGCUGGCGGCAGGCCUAACACAUGCAAGUCGAACGGUAACAGGAAGCAGCUUGCUGCUUCGCUGACGAGUGGCGGACGGGGGAGUAAUGUCUGGGAAACUGCCUGAUGGAGGGGGAUAACUACUGGAAACGGUAGCUAAAACCGCAUAACGUCGCAAGACCAAAGAGGGGGACCUUCGGGCCUC